rnacentral:rRNA from 1 species
UGGGGAAUUUUGGACAAUGGACGCAAGUCUGAUCCAGCCAUGCCGCGUGCGGGAAGAAGGCCUUCGGGUUGUAAACUGCUUUUGUACGGAGCGAAAAGGUCUGCCCUAAUACGGUGGGCUCAUGACGGUACCGUAAGAAUAAGCACCGGCUAACUACGUGCCAGCAGCCGCGGUAAUACGUAGGGUGCGAGCGUUAAUCGGAAUUACUGGGCGUAAAGCGUGCGCAGGCGGCUAUAUAAGACAGAGGUGAAAUCCCCGGGCUCAACCUGGGAACUGCCUUUGUGACUGCAUAGCUAGAGUACGGUAGAGGGGGAUGGAAUUCCGCGUGUAGCAGUGAAAUGCGUAGAUAUGCGGGGGAACACCGAUGGCGAAGGCAAUCCCCUGGGCCUGUACUGACGCUCAUGCACGAAAGCGUGGGGAGCAAACA